rnacentral:rRNA from 1 species
CCGAAUGGGGAAACCCAGUGUGAUUCGUCACACUAUCAUUAACUGAAUCCAUAGGUUAAUGAGGCGAACCGGGGGAACUGAAACAUCUAAGUACCCCGAGGAAAAGAAAUCAACCGAGAUUCCCCCAGUAGCGGCGAGCGAACGGGGAGGAGCCCAGAGCCUGAAUCAGCAUGUGUGUUAGUGGAAGCGUCUGGAAAGGCGCGCGAUACAGGGUGACAGCCCCGUACACAAAAGCGCAUGUGCUGUGAGCUCGAUGAGUAGGGCGGGACACGUGGUAUCCUGUCUGAAUAUGGGGGGACCAUCCUCCAAGGCUAAAUACUCCUGACUGACCGAUAGUGAACCAGUACCGUGAGGGAAAGGCGAAAAGAACCCCGGCGAGGGGAGUGAAAAAGAACCUGAAACCGUGUACGUACAAGCAGUGGGAGCACAGGUUUACCUGUGUGACUGCGUACCUUUUGUAUAAUGGGUCAGCGACUUAUAUUCUGUAGCAAGGUUAACCGAAUAGGGGAGCCGGAGGGAAACCGAGUCUUAAUUGGGCGUUAAGUUGCAGGGUAUAGACCCGAAACCCGGUGAUCUAGCCAUGGGCAGGUUGAAGGUUGGGUAACACUAACUGGAGGACCGAACCGACUAAUGUUGAAAAAUUAGCGGAUGACCUGUGGCUGGGGGUGAAAGGCCAAUCAAACCGGGAGAUAGCUGGUUCUCCCCGAAAGCUAUUUAGGUAGCGCCUCGUGAAUUCAUCUCCGGGGGUAGAGCACUGUUUCGGCUAGGGGGCCAUCCCGGCUUACCAACCCGAUGCAAACUGCGAAUACCGGAGAAUGUUAUCACGGGAGACACACGGCGGGUGCUAACGUCCGUCGUGAAGAGGGAAACAACCCAGACCGCCAGCUAAGGUCCCAAAGUCAUGGUUAAGUGGGAAACGAUGUGGGAAGGCCCAGACAGCCAGGAUGUUGGCUUAGAAGCAGCCAUCAUUUAAAGAAAGCGUAAUAGCUCACUGGUCGAGUCGGCCUGCGCGGAAGAUGUAACGGGGCUAAACCAUGCACCGAAGCUGCGGCAGCGANNUGCUGGAGGUAUCAGAAGUGCGAAUGCUGACAUAAGUAACGAUAAAGCGGGUGAAAAGCCCGCUCGCCGGAAGACCAAGGGUUCCUGUCCAACGUUAAUCGGGGCAGGGUGAGUCGACCCCUAAGGCGAGGCCGAAAGGCGUAGUCGAUGGGAAACGGGUUAAUAUUCCCGUACUUGGUGUUACUGCGAAGGGGGGACGGAGAAGGCUAUGUUGGCCGGGCGACGGUUGUCCCGGUUUAAGCGUGUAGGUGUGUGUUCCAGGUAAAUCCGGUUCACUUUAACACUGAGGCGUGANNNNNNNNNNNNNNNNNNNNNNNNNNNNNNNNNNNNNNNNNNNNNNNNNNNNNNNNNNNGGAGCUGAAGUCAGUCGAAGAUACCAGCUGGCUGCAACUGUUUAUUAAAAACACAGCACUGUGCAAACACGAAAGUGGACGUAUACGGUGUGACGCCUGCCCGGUGCCGGAAGGUUAAUUGAUGGGGUCAGCGCAAGCGAAGCUCCUGAUCGAAGCCCCGGUAAACGGCGGCCGUAACUAUAACGGUCCUAAGGUAGCGAAAUUCCUUGUCGGGUAAGUUCCGACCUGCACGAAUGGCGUAAUGAUGGCCAGGCUGUCUCCACCCGAGACUCAGUGAAAUUGAACUCGCUGUGAAGAUGCAGUGUACCCGCGGCAAGACGGAAAGACCCCGUGAACCUUUACUAUAGCUUGACACUGAACAUUGAGCCUUGAUGUGUAGGAUAGGUGGGAGGCUUUGAAGUGUGGACGCCAGUCUGCAUGGAGCCGACCUUGAAAUACCACCCUUUAAUGUUUGAUGUUCUAACGUGGACCCGUAAUCCGGGUUGCGGACAGUGUCUGGUGGGUAGUUUGACUGGGGCGGUCUCCUCCUAAAGAGUAACGGAGGAGCACGAAGGUUGGCUAAUCCUGGUCGGACAUCAGGAGGUUAGUGCAAUGGCAUAAGCCAGCUUGACUGCGAGCGUGACGGCGCGAGCAGGUGCGAAAGCAGGUCAUAGUGAUCCGGUGGUUCUGAAUGGAAGGGCCAUCGCUCAACGGAUAAAAGGUACUCCGGGGAUAACAGGCUGAUACCGCCCAAGAGUUCAUAUCGACGGCGGUGUUUGGCACCUCGAUGUCGGCUCAUCACAUCCUGGGGCUGAAGUAGGUCCCAAGGGUAUGGCUGUUCGCCAUUUAAAGUGGUACGCGAGCUGGGUUUAGAACGUCGUGAGACAGUUCGGUCCCUAUCUGCCGUGGGCGCUGGAGAACUGAGGGGGGCUGCUCCUAGUACGAGAGGACCGGAGUGGACGCAUCACUGGUGUUCGGGUUGUCAUGCCAAUGGCACUGCCCGGUAGCUAAAUGCGGAAGAGAUAAGUGCUGAAAGCAUCUAAGCACGAAACUUGCCCCGAGAUGAGUUCUCCCUGAGACUUAGAGUCUCCUGAAGGAACGUUGAAGACGACGACGUUGAUAGGCCGG